rnacentral:rRNA from 1 species
GAUGAACGCUGGCGGCGUGCCUAAUACAUGCAAGUCGAGCGAACAGACGAGGAGCUUGCUCCUCUGACGUUAGCGGCGGACGGGUGAGUAACACGUGGAUAACCUACCUAUAAGACUGGGAUAACUUCGGGAAACCGGAGCUAUUACCGGAUAAUAUAUUGAACCGCAUGGUUCAAUAGUGAAAGACGGUUUUGCUGUCACUUAUAGAUGGAUCCGCGCCGCAUUAGCUAGUUGGUAAGGUAACGGCUUACCAAGGCAACGAUGCGUAGCCGACCUGAGAGGGUGAUCGGCCACACUGGAACUGAGACACGGUCCAGACUCCUACGGGAGGCAGCAGUAGGGAAUCUUCCGCAAUGGGCGAAAGCUUGACGGAGCAACGCCGCGUGAGUGAUGAAGGUCUCCGGAUCGUAAAACUCUGUUAUUAGGGAAGAACAAAUGUGUAAGUAACUAUGCACGUCUUGACGGUACCUAAUCAGAAAGCCACGGCUAACUACGUG